GGGGGGGGGGGGAAGCUAAUCAUUAUUUAUUCCAAGUUUAGCAUGUUUUAGCUGAUCUUACACACACACACACAUACUCGCACACACACCUCUUUUGUAAUUAUUGCUUAUCUGCAAGAAGGCUAUGAAAUCUUUGAAAGUACACACUCACCUAGAGCUUUUAGUUAAUACACAGCUUAUGGGAAUGACCCACAAUUCAUUUUGUGUUUUUCAUUUCUACAGAAUUUGCUGCAUCAGUUCAAGGAUUCUGCACAGUGACUAUUGGGGGGAAACACUAAGUAUCUCGAAGCCAUGUUGUUGACCCAGUACGAAAAGCAGCAUGGAAAUGGCUGCCAUGCUUUUUUGGCGGAUUUCAGACAAAUGUACUCAUGGAUUAUUUGAACACAAAUAACCCUAAAUUGGUGAUUGAAAUCCUCUCUUGUUGCCUCCCUUAGUCAAAUAAUUUAGCAAAAAUAAUUUAAGCAGGGCAAAAAGGGGCCUUGUUAUAGGCCUUUUGCAGACCUGUCCCAGUAAAAAGUCAGCAGACACACUCAGAAGCACGGACUUCUAGAGCCUCAGCUCCUUGAAAUUUAUCAUCUGGCCUGAGAGCUUCCAUCACCCUUGUCAGGUUCUGAAAUGACAUAGUAAAUCUAAGCUCCCCAAAAGGUGCCUGAAAUACCUAUCGAAUGCAUACUGACAGAGCCUAUUGGCUGUCUUGUAACUUGUGUGGCUGACAGUGAGUUAGGUUUACUCACGUGUCGUAAGACAGGAACAAAAUUCACAGUGACCCAAUGGGAUGAGAAGGGUCAGGCCUGGCCAAAAUUAUCAUCUGUCUUCAGACCCAAAGUGCAGACGCCAAAGAACUGAAGACUCCACCCCAGCCCUGGCCCCACCCUGUCCCUGUCCUCUUCCCCAUAGAACCUCACCAAAAACCUUUCACGAAAGCCCUGUUUAUCCAGUUAAUGAGCUGCAGGAUAAUCUGUCCUCCAAAACAAGUAAUGGCCUAAUAAAUGCCUGAACGUGGGGAGGAUUUACUGAGGCAAAAUUAGCCCAAAAACAAUUGUUAGUCUUCCGAGAGCUCUUUCUAAAGCAUUAGGUUUAUGAUGGUCAUUCAAAAAGGGAAAAAAAGUCAACUCCGUUUUCUUAGAAUGUUUCCUCCAUGAUGUGAUUUAAGGGUGGAGUAUAAACUGUUUGACUGUUCUGUUCUAAGCUGUGAUCGCAUGGAGAAUUAGUGCCGUGUGAUGUAUAGAAUGAUGGUUGAAGCGAGAAGGGGCCUGAGACUAUAUUCUUAAUGACUUCAAGCUGGUGUGGCCCCAGCCACCUGAGGACCGCUGUUUGCAGGAAGAGCCAACACUGCAGAGCUGGCUGAGAUUCGCAGCAAGCCACAAAUUACACUGGCCGGGGCCGGUGGCUUGAAGUAGCACGUGCAGUAAUAACUGUCCUGCGAUAAAGUGUUUCAUAAAAGUGGCAAGCUUGACAGCCAUUUCAGUAAAUACAGGACUGGUAACGAGCAAUUAAACCGAACUGCCCUUAAAUGAGAGCUGUAGGUUAUGCUGCACAUAGUGAACCUCACACCAGGGACACGGCCCGCGGCGGCCAGGGCAGCACUUCCCUCGUGAACGCAACCUAGACACACCAACCCCGAUUCCGAACGAGCCACGCUCCCACGGCCCAGAACCUCCAACCAGAUCUGGAAGUCAACCCACAUGGCCGUGGCAAGCGGCCGAUUCAGAGACCUCAAAAGCAAUUUUCAGCCCUGAGUACCACUGGCUGCCCAAACUGAAUAGGCAACCCAAAUAUUCUCAUAUCCUGUUUCUGGGUUCUAUUCGUCAAGAGGAUGCUCUCCCCACAAUUCCAUAGCUCCAUGAAGUCCUAAUGGAUGACAACCAGCAGCUCCAUAUGACCUAAAUCAAAGCUACUUGCUGAGCAAAAGGUCCGCCUGAGGACCGAAUAAAGAACUGAAUGCAUCCUCCCUACACAUGACAGAGACCUCAGUUCGAAGCCAUCAAUACACCAAAGUAUUUUCCAAGCCAGUACUGAGUAAGGGGGGUGGAGGGGGAGAGAGUUCCAUAAAAUUCCAUAAUUCCUUUAAAUACUGAGGAAAGAAAGUUAUAUAUUGAUGAGGUCACAUCUCUUUAAUUGGUUACUCCAGCAACCCCCUUUCAUGGCUGGGAAAUUGUAAUUUAUACCCAAUGGCUGUACGUUAGUCUGAAUUCACCUGGAAUUUCUUUGUUUAUAACUUUUAAAAUUUACUUGGCCAUUUCUAAAAAUCUAUUUUAAAUAUCCCAUUGCUCGCAUAUACUUUGAAUCCUAGAAUUCACUCUGUCUGGAACUCUACCUCAGACCCUGCAUUAUGAGUUGAGAUGCAUGUGUGAUGUUCCAGGAACCCUCAAGUUGCUUUCACUGCCCAGGACCAUCGGGCUAGACGCAGGGAUCCAGUCUCAGGCCCACAGCAAAGGGUGUGCACCCUCUGUGCCUUCUGGCAGGUAAGUAGCACAGCACCUGAGUGGGAGCCUGUCCUAUGGAGAAGGGACCACGCUCUUGGACCACAUUUUAAAGUACAAGUAUCAUUACAAAUUUUUCCCACGUUACAAAAAACAAAUGUCUAUGGGCCUCACCUAUUAAUUUAUGAUUGGAAUAGUCUACUUUAUUACCAUGGUUUUUUCCCCACCAAGGAAUUCCCAUUGUCACCCACCUGCGGUACGGUAUCUUCAUUUCUGCCUAGAUCAAAGUUCAUUCCUCCAAACCCCUCCAGAUCUGGUCUCCUCUCAUUUCUAGCCUCCAGACUCUGCUGCUUCUCCUCUGUUUUGCCCACACUAUUCCCGACCUGUCUGUCCUUACCUCAGCUACCUGGCUGUUUCACUCAACCAUGUGACUUUUCCAGUUCUCUAUAAUGCAUUUCCAGGUCAGACUUCUAACUUCAUUUUGAAAACCCCUGAACACAAUACUCUCGAGGAGGCCUAUAAUGGAUGCAGAAAGAUGAACCAGUUUCCAAUUCCAAUUAGGGUUAUCAUGUGAGUUUGCUACCAGCACCCCACCAUGGGAGUUAAUUUUCCUGCCUCCUACCCAACACUGGUCAUCUCUGUCCUCUUUUAAGGAGACUAUGGUGCUCUAUAAUAAAGCAAUAUGGACUGAAGACUCAACACCAUCACCAGAUAAUGAAGAGAAGUGUAAAUCAACCCAAAAAGCCAAAGAAUACACUUUCCAGGUAUGGCUUUAGCUUUUUCUGUACCUGUCAAGUCCAAACUGGGAGAUAAAUACUUGACAAAACAAGAGGAUAAUAAACUAUAGCUUACAUUCCA